UACGUAGGGGCAAGCGUUAUCCGGAAUUAUUGGGCGUAAAGAGUGCGUAGGUGGUUUCUUAAGCGCAAGGUUUAAUACAGCGGCUCAACUGCUGUCUGCCUUGCGAACUGGGUUACUUGAGUGCAGGAGGGGAAAGCGGAAUUCCUAGUGUAGCGGUGAAAUGCGUAGAUAUUAGGAGGAACACUGGCGGCGAAGGCGGCUUUCUGGACUGUAACUGACACUGAGGCACGAAAGCGUGGGGAGCAAACAGGAUUAGAUACCCUGGUAGUCCCU
rnacentral:rRNA from 1 species